GUCUAUGGCCAUCCCACCCUGAACACGCCUGACCUCGCCUGAUCUUGGAAGAUAAGCAGGGUCGGAUCUGGUUAGUACUUGGUUGGGAGACCGUGUGGGAAUACUGAGUGCUGUAGGCU
ensembl:rRNA 5S_rRNA 5S ribosomal RNA